UUUCACUUUCCUUCCUCCUUUUUCGCGGCAAGUGCACAAACCCGUUGCAAAGAUCACUGCGAACACGUGCUCCUACGCUUUGACGCUAACGAUAGAUCGUGCAAUGUUCUUAUUUGAAAUCCUGCUCCACUGUUAAAUAACUAACCUCUUAAUUGUUAGGUCCUAUAUAUUCGUUGGAACUGCCGUUUUUCGUGCCACGAUUCGUGAGACCAGACAGAUGAGGAGCGAAAGAAAGAAGAAGGUCCAUAGACUAUACUUGUACUAUGCAAAAUGAUUUAUUACUGUUCAAUAAGUUUGUAGUUUCUUUAAUUUGAUUGAUGUCUUCCUUCAGGUUUGUGCUUGAUUUCGCUUAUAUAACUAAUUUAAACUUACUAUGCAAUUAACCAUUAAAAAUAAAAAUUUAGUUAGAAGUUUAACAUUUUAAUUUAAAAAUUCUAAAAACAUUUUCUUUAAAAAUUGAAAUAUAUUAUUAUUCAUUUAAAUUUAUAAAAUUCCAAUAAAGUAAAUCAAUUUACUAUAAUUUCUGAAUGAAAAUAAUUAUUACUUUACCGUAAUACACAAAUAAUUCAUCUAAAACAAAUUCCUGUUGCGAUUCUAUCUCGAACAAGAAUGCUCGUUUCACGUUUUUUUUUUGCAAAAUUGAUCCAUGCAUCCACAGAAUUUCUCGGUCGAUCAUUUCUUCCGCCCAAAGACAUCAAUAACUCGUUAAUUAGAAUCUUCAUGCUUCUUCCUCGGUUUCUCUCCAAGGGUGGUAAAUAAUCCCGCCGCAUGCUCGAUAAUUAUGUAACCGCGACGAA